CUUGCUCAUGACGUUAAGCAGGACAGUGUGGUGUCUUUUUAUGAAUGGUAUGAGACCAGCAACCAUCUGUGGCUGGUGGUGGAGAUGAGCACAGGUUAAGCUGGGACCCUUUAACAUCAGACCCAUUCUGGAGGAAAGCAUUUUCAGAGACCAGCAUCACUAUGGGAAAAGAGCAGGAUAAUGUCUCCCUGAUAUCCAGCCUGCAUUUGGCCCCUGUGUCUUCUCAGAGAGGAAGCCCAGACAGCACCUGCUGACCCUGCCAGCCCAAACCUCAG